rnacentral:piRNA from 1 species
UCCUGUAACGCCCCCGUGCUA